rnacentral:rRNA from 1 species
AUCGAUGAAGAACGCAGCGAAAUGCGAUAAGUAAUGUGAAUUGCAGAAUUCAGUGAAUCAUCGAAUCUUUGAACGCACAUUGCGCCCCUUGGUAUUCCGGGGGGCAUGCCUGUUCGAGCGUCAUUUCAACCCUCAAGCUACGCUUGGUCUUGGGCCCUGCCGGCAACGGCUGGCCUUAAAAUUAGUGGCGGUGCCAUUGAGCUCUACGCGUAGUAAUAAAACCCUCGCUUCUGAGUCUCGGUGGACGCUUGCCAGCAACCCCCAAUUUCUAUGGUUGACCUCGGAUCAGGUAGGGAUACCCGCUGAACUUAAGCAUAUCAAUAAGCGGAGGAAAAGAAACCAACAGGGAUUACCUCAGUAACGGCGAGUGAAGCGGUAACAGCUCAAAUUUGAAAUCUGGCUCUUUCAGGGUCCGAGUUGUAAUUUGUAGAAGAUGCUUCGGGUGUGGCUCCGGUCUAAGUUCCUUGGAACAGGACGUCAUAGAGGGUGAGAAUCCCGUAUGUGACUGGUUGCCUCCGCCCAUGUGAAGCUCUUUCGACGAGUCGAGUUGUUUGGGAAUGCAGCUCAAAAUGGGUGGUAAAUUUCAUCUAAAGCUAAAUAUUGGCCAGAGACCGAUAGCGCACAAGUAGAGUGAUCGAAAGAUGAAAAGCACUUUGGAAAGAGAGUUAAACAGUACGUGAAAUUGUUGAAAGGGAAGCGCUUGCAAUCAGACUUGCACGCUGCCGAUCAUCCGGUGUUCUCACCGGUGCACUCGGUUGCGUUCAGGCCAGCAUCGGUUUGGGUGGUUGGAUAAAGGCCUUGGGAAUGUAGCUUCUUUCGGGGAGUGUUAUAGCCCUCGGUGCAAUGCAGCCUACCCGGACCGAGGACCGCGCUUCGGCUAGGAUGCUGGCGUAAUGGUUGUAAGCGACCCGUCUUGAAACACGG